AUGCAGAGGAACCUGGGAGCUGUACUGGGGAUUCUGUGGGUGCAGAUUUGCUGGGUGAGAGGAGAUCAGGUGGAGCAGAGUCCUUCAGCCCUGAGUCUCCACGAGGGAAGCAAUUCUGCUCUGAGAUGCAAUUUUUCUACCACCAUGAGGAGUGUGCAGUGGUUCCGACAGAAUUCCAGGGGCAGCCUCAUCAGUCUGUUCUUCUUGGCUUCAGGAACGAAGGAGAAUGGGAGGUUAAAGUCAGCAUUUGAUUCUAAGGAGCGCUACAGCACCCUGCACAUCAGGGAUGCCCAGCUGGAGGACUCAGGCACUUACUUCUGUGCUGCCGAGGCACACCACACAGGUUAUCAGAACCUCUAUUUUGGGAAAGGGACAAGUUUGACUGUCAUUCCAAACAUCCAGAACCCAGAACCUGCUGUGUACCAACUGAAAGACACUCGGUCUCAGGACAACACCCUCUGCCUGUUCACCGACUUUGAUUCCCAAGUCAGUGUGCCGAAAACCAUGGAAUCUGGAAUGUUCAUCUUUGACAAAACUGUGCUGGAUAUGAAAGCUAUGGAUUCCAGGAGCAACGGGGCCAUUGCCUGGAGCAACCAAACGAGCUUCAGCUGCAAGGAUGCCUUCCAAGAGAGUGAUGCCUCCUACCCCAGUUCAGAUGUUCCCUGUGAUGCCGCGUUGACAGAGAAAAGCUUUGAAACAGAUAUGAACCUAAACUUUCAAAACCUGUCAGUUAUGGGACUCCGAAUCCUCCUGCUGAAAGUGGCUGGAUUUAACCUGCUCAUGACGCUGAGGCUGUGGUCCAGUUGAGGUCAGCGAGAUUGAAAAAGCCUGACACCCAAGCUCCAUCCUCCUCACCCCUCCGCUCCCUCUUCAAGCCAAAAGGAGCCCUCCCACCUCAGCAAGAAGGCUGUCUGGGGUCUGGCUGGCCCUGACUCACAAUCCCAACUGGAUCUCCAGGAUUUGUGAGGAAGAUUGCGGGAGAGCUAAGCGCUGCCGCACCCACUCACUCCCUCACUGCUGCUGACCAUUCACAGAAACGGCAGAGGCGGGGCUUCUCCUGGAUCUGAAGCCCCCUCCCCCAUGGCAGACUCCCCUGUAGAAUCUCAUGGAGAAUGUUGUAAAAAAUAUGGGGUUUUUUUGUGUGGGGGGGGUUGGGUUUUUUUUUAAGCAUCCAUAAAGAAAUACAUAUUACUCUUUCCUCAAGGUGUAGAAAUUAUCUCACUGUCUAGACCCUCCUG